UUUACUCCUCUUUUAUAUUCUCAUUUAACUAUAAUUUUCCUUUAAAUUUUAUAGAUUAUUAAUCCAUUAUAUUCACAUAUAUAAACAUUUCUUUUUAAUUUUUUUUUUUUUAAUUUUUCCAUCGAGACAACGAUCUACAGUGAGAUCCGUUAUAACGAGACGUGAUAAAGUGCACUCGUACCGAGCGAAAAUUCAAAGUCGAUUUUCUCGAAAACAAAGCCUCGAACGAAAAAUUUUUAUUCUAUAUUUUCGACUUCUUUUUUCGCGUAGAAUCACCCCCUUUCGGCUUAUACCACCAGUUGUCAACCACCCUAUAUAAUUUCCUAUACGGCUGCCACCCCAAUUUCUUUGACACAAGUUUUCCACUUUGGUCAUCGCUAGUUCUAAUGUUAGGGAAGUAUGAAUUUAGUAAAUUUAUUAAAUUACUAAUAUUUAUUAACAUUUAAGUUAGCAAUAUGUAAUAAAUGUAUAGCAUAGCUAAUCGAUGUUUCCAAUUGUUGUAGAUUGUAUUUCUGGAGAAUAUUGUUGGUGGAAAAUUUGGAAUUACUAUAUACUUCAAAGAAUGCAAGAAUUUUAAGUAAACAGUCACAAGAAAAUUUCUAAUGAAAGGUCUACACGAGGAAAUCGCUAUUAGUUUGUUUCCACGGUUGGUGUACUAUGUCAAAGCGCGCGACGAAGAGCGUGCGAUCUCUCAGCUUCAGGAAAUGUCGACGCGAUGUUGCGCACUGCUGUUCAUGUAAUCGAGAUGUAUAGUGUCGGUAGUGACACGUUAGUGUACGAGGAAAACUUUCCUCAUGCAUACGUAGAUACGUGCGUCGUGCAAUAUUCAUAGAAUCUCUUCCAGAAAGUUAAGAGUCAAUGGCUAUAGAAUAGAAGUGAACUCGACAACGAAGGAUCUCAUAUAUAUCCUUGAGCAUAGAAAUCCAUUCUGGAUGCUCUUCAACUUUUUAUAACGUUUCUAUUCAUUCGUCACCAAUUUGUUCCGUGACCGUUUCAAUCUGAACGCGAUGAAUAGCCGGCGAUUAAAUUUACAAAUUAUUUAGUUGCGAAUUAAAUGAGAAGCGUUUCAAUAAAAAAGAAAAGAAGCUAUUGCCAGGAUGAUUGUUAAGAUAAAGUGGCUAGUUUCUCUCUGUACCAUUGAUCUAUUGUUUUCAAUGAAUCAAUAAUUUCGGUGGACGAUUGUAUCUGAUAGAGACAUCUGUCUAAGAAUGAGGAAAGUAUUCGUUAUCGACGUGAGUUGAAGAACUUUGUAAUCUACAGAACAUAAAGAGCUUUUUUAUCAAUAAAAGCUAAAGAACUUUGGCACUAACUCUGCAGUGAUAACAUUAAUAGUUGCUGGAAUUGUUGUAGCUAUGGAUAUAUGAAUAAUUAUUGCAGACGAAAUAUAGAAUUUUUUAUAUCCCUA